GAUGAACGCUGGCGGCGUGCCUAAUACAUGCAAGUCGAGCGAACGGACGAGAAGCUUGCCUCUCUGAUGUUAGCGGCGGACGGGUGAGUAACACGUGGAUAACCUACCUAUAAGACUGGGAUAACUUCGGGAAACCGUAGCUAAUACCGGAUAAUAUUUUGAACCGCAUGGUUCAAAAGUGAAAGACGGUCUUGCUGUCACUUAUAGAUGGAUCCGCGCUGCAUUAGCUAGUUGGUAAGGUAACGGCUUACCAAGGCAACGAUGCAUAGCCGACCUGAGAGGGUGAUCGGCAACACUGGAACUGAGACACGGUCCAGACUCCUACGGGAGGCAGCAGUAGGGAAUCUUCCGCAAUGGGCGAAAGCCUGACGGAGCAACGCCGCGUGAGUGAUGAAGGUCUUCGGAUCGUAAAACUCUGUUAUUAGGGAAGAACAUAUGUGUAAGUAACUGUGCACAUCUUGACGGUACCUAAUCAGAAAGCCACGGCUAACUACGUG
rnacentral:rRNA from 1 species